UACGUAGGGGGCAAGCGUUGUCCGGAAUCAUUGGGCGUAAAGCGCGCGUAGGCGGCCAGAAAAGUCCGCUGUGAAAACUCGAGGCUCAACUUCGAGCUGUCGGUGGAAACUUUCUGGCUAGAGUCCGGAAGAGGAGAAUGGAAUUCCUGGUGUAGCGGUGAAAUGCGCAGAUAUCAGGAGGAACACCGGUGGCGAAGGCGGAUCUCUGGGCCUUACCUGACGCUGAGGCGCGAAAGCUAGGGGAGCGAACAGG
rnacentral:rRNA from 1 species